rnacentral:rRNA from 1 species
GACGAACGCUGGCGGCGUGCUUAACACAUGCAAGUCGAACGGUGAAGCGCCUUCCUUUUUGGUGGGUGUGGAUGAGUGGCGAACGGGUGAGUAACACGUGAGUAACCUGCCCCCUUCUUCUGGAUAACCGCAUGAAAGUGUGGCUAAUACGGGAUAUUCUGGGUCUGUCGCAUGAUGGGUCUGGGAAAGAUAUUGUUUCGGUGGGGGAUGGGCUCGCGGCCUAUCAGCUUGUUGGUGGGGUGAUGGCCUACCAAGGCGGUGACGGGUAGCCGGCCUGAGAGGGUCGACGGUCACACUGGGACUGCGGCACGGCCCAGACUCCUACGGGAGGCAGCAGGGGGGAAUAUUGAACAAUGGGCGCAAGCAUGAUGCAGCGACGCCGCGUGAGGGAUGGAGUCCGUCGGGUUGUGAACCUCUUUCGCCAGUGAAGCAGGCCUGCCUCGUUUGUGGGUGGGUUGACGGUAGCUGGAUAAGAAGCGCCGGCUAACUACGUG